AUACAUUUGGCCUCUUAUACUUGAUGCACACCACACAUCUCCUUGCGGAUUCUAAAGGGGUUGCUGAUUCUUUGGUUGAGACACUGUAGUUCUCAGUCCCUGGAAAUUCCAGAAGCAACAGCCUAUAAGAAGCUAACGAAGGCAUUAGUGCUUGAUAUGUUACUGCUGACCUGGGACUAGUUAAAACUGCAGCAGUGUGUUACACCUUCAAUAAAAGGAAUGGUGACAAAUUGCUGCUAUGAAUUUCUCAGAACCAUCUGGAAGAAAUUUGAGGUUGACUUGAAGGAGGAAAAAUCUUUAGGAGAAAGUAUGCUGCCUCUGGUGGGAAAAAAAAAAUCUCACUAUGGGCAAAAAUUCCUGCAUCAUCUUUGCAUGUAAUUGAAGUGAAAAUACUUUUAGCCUGAGUUAUUUAGCUAACUGCUUCAAUUUUCUACCUGGCAUGUCAGUUAAGAUAUGAAGCAUAUGAACUGAUAGCUAUGAUGUGAAUAAAUGCCUAGUUCUAGUGAUGAUUGAAAUAAUGGAAGUGCAGGGGACCAUGAAGAUCAAGUCCUUUUCUUUUUUGAUUAUUUAUUUAGCAAAUAUUUGGGGUCUACUGUAUGUACAGCUUUGUACUGAAAAGUGGUCACAAUUCUGUCCUCGAGAAGUGGCAGUUUAACUAGGGCUUCUGAAAUGUGAAUAUGUUGGUAAGCCUGUCCAGCACGAAGCCAGAUGGUGGCUUUCUGUUCCUUGAUAAUCCUACGUACAAAAGGUGAAGUCUAAUUUCCGUUCAUGUGAGUGUGAACAUAAGCUGUACUUGGUGACUCACUUCUAACUAACAGAAUGUGGUGGGAGUGAUGUCCUAAUCUAGGUCAUAAAAAGGAUACAGCUGAGAAAUGGAACUAAGUUUUGUUGGAAUAAUAGUUCUGGAUCUCUAACUCAAAUCACAUUCUAGCUGAACAGACAAAUCUUUUAAUCUAGUUGAAGUUGAUGUAACCCAGUUGAGCCGUGCUAGACUAUAAAGCUUGGUCAGUCCAGGUCUGGGGAAUGGUGAGAGUGACAACUUAGAUUAGACUUGGCGAAGGUUCUUUAGCUAGCUAGCAGUGCAAAGAUACACAAAAGAUGAAGGCUACAUGCUGGUAUUGGUGGAUGUGGCUUCUCAAUAUCUUCUUUGUCCCUUGUGGAAAUGUUCUGUCCAAAGUUCAGAGGUCUCAGCCAUGUGCAGUGAAGCAAGAAUGGGUCUAGUCAGAGGAGCUUGUGAAUUUAUAAUUAUUUGCUGCACUACAGUUAAAUAACUAAAUUCUAGAAUGUAUCUUAGCUUGGGUUCCCCAGAAAGCAGAGCCUGAGGCAAAGAUUAUGUGCUCUUAUGCUAUCAAGGAGUGCAAUUCCCCAGAGCACAUGAGGAACAAGAGGAAGAGACAGGGAAUGACAGGGAUAGAGAGCCAUUUGAGGUAUCCACUGUGAUCAUCGCUUGAUCUCAGUGGAACCAUGUUUCAGGAGGUCAUAGAAAGGACUGCCUCUUUUGAUCGUCCACUGAGGGAGAAUUAUUAAAAAGUCAUCUGCUGUCUCCAUUUCCCUGGAUCCAAGAUUUUCAUCAUGGGACAUUAAUUCCCCAAGGACGUCCAGGUUGCAUGUAUAUGGGUGCCGCUGAGACCCACGAUGUCUCAUGCCUCUAUGCCAACAGUGCAACCAUAGG
rnacentral:lncRNA from 1 species